CACGUAGGGGGCAAGCGUUGUCCGGAUUUAUUGGGCGUAAAGAGCUCGUAGGCGGCUUAGUAAGUCGGGUGUGAAACCUCCAGGCUCAACCUGGAGACGCCACCCGAUACUGCUGUGGCUAGAGUCCGGUAGGGGGAGCGUGGAAUUCCUGGUGUAGCGGUGAAAUGCGCAGAUAUCAGGAGGAACACCAGCGGCGAAGGCGACUACCUGGCCUGUUCUUGACGCUGGAGGCGCGAAAGCUAGGGGAGCAAACGGG
rnacentral:rRNA from 1 species